GACGAACGCUGGCGGCGUGCCUAACACAUGCAAGUCGAGCGGAGGUACAAUGAGAGCAAUCGAGAUGUACUUUAGCGGCGGACGGGUGAGUAACGCGUGAGCAACCUGCCUAUCACAGGGGGAUAAGGCGGCGAAAGCCGCUCUAAUACCGCAUGAGACCCUCAAAGCGAUGCAAUGGGGGUGAAAGGAGCGAUCCGGUGAGAGAUGGGCUCGCGUCCGAUUAGGUAGUUGGUAGGGUAAGGGCCUACCAAGCCAAUGAUCGGUAGCCGGCCUGAGAGGGUGAACGGCCACAUUGGAACUGAGAGACGGUCCAAACUCCUACGGGAGGCAGCAGUGGGGAAUAUUGGGCAAUGGGCGGAAGCCUGACCCAGCAACGCCGCGUGAGGGAAGAAGGUUUUCGGAUUGUAAACCUCUGUUCUUGGGGAAGAGGAGGAGACGGUACCCAAGGAGGAAGCCCCGGCUAACUACGUGCCAGCAGCCGCGGUAAGCACGAGAGUA
rnacentral:rRNA from 1 species